rnacentral:rRNA from 1 species
GUGGGGAAUCUUCCGCAAUGGACGAAAGUCUGACGGAGCAACGCCGCGUGAGUGAAGAAGGUUUUCGGAUCGUAAAGCUCUUUCGUUAGGGACGAACGUGCUCUUUGUGAAUAAUGAGGAGUAAUGACGGUACCUAAAUAAGAAGCCACGGCUAACUACGUGCCAGCAGCCGCGGUAAUACGUAGGUGGCAAGCGUUGUCCGGAAUUAUUGGGCGUAAAGCGCGCGCAGGCGGGAUAUCAAGUCUGUCUUAAAAGUGCGAGGCUCAACCUCGUGAGGGGACAGAAACUGGUAUUCUUGAGUGUCGGAGAGGAAAGUGGAAUUCCAAGUGUAGCGGUGAAAUGCGUAGAGAUUUGGAAGAACACCAGUGGCGAAGGCGACUUUCUGGACGAAAACUGACGCUGAGGCGCGAAAGCCAGGGGAGCGAACGGGAUUAGAAACCCUAGUAGUCC